rnacentral:rRNA from 1 species
AUUGAACGCUGGCGGCAUGCUUUACACAUGCAAGUCGAACGGUAACAGGCCGCAAGGUGCUGACGAGUGGCGAACGGGUGAGUAAUGCAUCGGAACGUGCCCAGUCGUGGGGGAUAACUACUCGAAAGAGUAGCUAAUACCGCAUACGAUCUAUGGAUGAAAGCGGGGGACCGUAAGGCCUCGCGCGAUUGGAGCGGCCGAUGUCAGAUUAGGUAGUUGGUGGGGUAAAGGCUCACCAAGCCAACGAUCUGUAGCUGGUCUGAGAGGACGACCAGCCACACUGGAACUGAGACACGGCCCAGACUCCUACGGGAGGCAGCAGUGGGGAAUUUUGGACAAAGGGCGCAAGCCUGAUCCAGCAAUGCCGCGUGCAGGAAGAAGGCCUUCGGGUUGUAAACUGCUUUUGUACGGAACGAAACGGCGCUGGUUAAUACCCGGGGCUAAUGACGGUACCGAAAGAAUAAGCACCGGCUAACUACGUG